CAAUAAGGCUUGGAGGCAUGUGAAAUGACUUUGUAGAAUGGUUUAGACCAGCUUCAAUAUUCAUAAGGAAACUGACCUGUUAAUAAAUGCCAAUCAACUUUAAUUAAUCACCUGACUAGCAGCUUAAAUGAUCUAGUUAUUCACAGAUGCAAAGAAGGAGCAUUAAAAAAAAAAAAAAAAAAAAAAAAAAAAAAAGCAGGAGGUUGAGAAAGAACGAGCUACUUCCAUGCAGCUUCUCAAUACUCAGAGAACAGCACCAGAAACUCAGAACUGCAAUUGGGAGGGAAAGCUUCUUGUUUGUUCUUUUCUGGCUAUUGAGCCUCUUUACAAUUUUUUGGUGAUGCUUUGAACACAGUCAAUAUUUGAAUGAUGUCUUCACCUCUGCUUUCAUGAAAACCCUUUCAUGAGCCCCUCCUUAGAAAAUCUGCUUUAUAUUCUAGACACCUGCCAUUCUGUUAUCCUUCAUGGGCUUCACUCAAGGAAAAGUUACCACCAACUACUACCAAUUACUGGGAAUUAAUUCAGCAAUCAAAUUAGGUCAGCAAAGUAGGUCACCCAUAUAAUAACCAUGGCAUCAGUUGUUGCAGUAAUAYCCUUCCUCACCUCCCAUGAGGUGUCUCUUCCAGAUAGCUGGGGGGAGGUGACAGAGAUACUGUUAAAAUUCUUUAAUCCUGACUCAAUCACUUUAUUCUCUAGCAAGGUCAUUAAUAAAAGCAGUUGAAUAUAUUUUGUGUGCUUUAUUUUCUCCAUAGCUACUUCAUUAGCUAAGCUGCUCACCUUUAUUUACUGUAUUUCAGGCAAACUGGGAUUAAAUGAUUCCUGGAUAGCAUAGGUCUGACCUCAAGUGCUGAACAUGAGGCUCACACAGAUGAUUUCUUCGACUGCUGGUUGCCCAGAUGUUGCUGGCAGCUUGCUUGCUGCCCACUACAGAAGAGCUGAGCCCAUAAGUAGGAUGAUGUUACCAUCUACUGGCCUCAGAGGAGAAUGCAGCAGCCACGUAAAUCCCGCUGGCUUUCGGGUGCAGCGAGUCCCCGUUGGCAUCCCACACUUUCACUAGCGUCCAUAAAGGAACAUGGACAGCCGGCUCAGUCCUGAAGGGUCACUCAGCACUGGCUACAUGCCGGAGACAGGAAUCCCAGAUGGAGUGCUGGCAUUUUUCUGGAUGCUGAGGUGAGAACUGGCCUUAAGAGGCGUUUGCUGGAAGCUUGCUCUGAAGCAUCGGCCUGCAGGGUUACUGCUGAGGGUGUCCCUGGCAGGGAUAAGGGACAAAUCCAUGUCCUCCUCACUCCCAUUCGGUUCUUAACCCCAAAGGGGUUGUCUG
rnacentral:lncRNA from 1 species